AGUUUCCUCCUAAUACUUGGAUUUUAUUUAUUUCUAUUAUGUAAACUCUGAUGUGUUUUUAUACUUUAAGAAGAAGAUGAGACACUCAAAGGUGUGAGUCAACCAUGCAAGUUAGCAACCGAAGGCGCUGAAGAUUUGUCAAAUUAAUUUCGAUAUUUCCUAUAACGGAUUGCCGUAUAACGUUUUGUCACCUUCCUCACUACCUUGGGCUGAGGUCUUAUAUGCUUCAAAUGCCGCACCUUCAUAUUUUUUGCACUCAAAAGAUGUACAAUGAACUGAGUAGCUCAUCAUUUAAUUAUAUUUUCUGGAGUAAUAUCUUCGUAGUUUUACCUUUGCAAUUAUUGAGAGGAAAAUUCUCUCUUUAUUUUUUGGGUAGUCAAGCAAAAUCUAUCUGCUAUUCCAUUAUGGCAUUUUCCUAGUUAAAGACAAAGAUGCACAAUUUUUAAACGGUGUAAACGCAUUGCCUCCCUUCUGCUAAAUGCGAUCCAAAUUUCACAUUGAAAGAACUGUACCUAUUCUCUUUAUGCUUCUUAUCAUUUUCGUAAUAACUCAUUUUCUACAUUUUUACUCAGAUGAAAUAAACAAUGUGAAGAACCUGUUCGUGAGAGCCACAGUGGAAGAGAUAUUCCACUUUUAGACAGUCUUUUAACAUAUGGUUCCCGAGGUCAAGUCAGAGGUGUUUUAAGUCAACUGAUUGAUAAGGUCCGAACUAAAGAAGAAAGAAGGGUGAUCGUAAAAAAUCUCCAGUGCAAGAAGACACAGUCAAUAGAGAAAGGAGUAGAUCAGAAGGUCGUGGAGCUGAAUGCUUGAAAGACUGUAUGUCAGUGCAGAGACCAAAAUUAUUAACUCCUGGUAAAAUGGAGAAAGAGAGCUCUAAGAACUCAUCAUCCUUUCAUCAAUUUAGUAGUAAAGUAGGAAGUGCGAGAGACCGAUCGCAUUCAGAUAUCUCUAUGCUUUGCUCGGAGCUUGUCAAAACUGAAGCAUCUGCUCAAAAAAAAUUGCAAGAAAAUGAGCAGAACAAUGCUAACACUCGUUCCCAGUGUGACAUACCAAAACAGCAGGAGCCUCGUUUAAAGUCAAGAUCCAAAGAAACCAAAAGACAACCGCAAACACAUGCAAAAAGUCCAACAUCUUUCAAACCACCAAUGGAUGCAGAUGAUGAUGAUGAUUACGGGCCUAUUAGCAGAGACAUUAUCCUAAGUAAAGCAAUGAUUCAUACACCACCUCGCUCAAAAACUCGAGCUCACUCAGACACUGAGGACUGUGUCUUUUAUCCCGAAAUCUCAAGUUCUGGAAGCAGAUCAUCCAUGGAUCUGGCAGAUGGGAGAAAGACUUUUUUUGUUGUCAUCAAUGCAAAAAAUAAAUCAUCAGGACUAAUGCGAAAACAGCGUUCAUGGGAUACUUUUCCACCAAAAAAACGGUGCCAUGAAAUUUCAAUGGCUAGUAAAUUUUGUCGUGACCCGGAUUCUUUCCAAGGUGGAUUUAACUUGAACAGCAUUCGAUCCGAGGGUUUGAAAAAAGCUGACAGUUUUGAAGGCCAUGAGGAAGCAGUACGUACACUUGUUGCAGCUGUUCAAGAGACAAGAACUCUUAGGAAGCCAAAACCGCCAUCAUCUAACACUGCCUGAAUUUAUUUUUAAUCUACAACGACUCAUUUCUGAUUCUUAUGGUUAUCCAAUUUUGUCAACUUGCUCAAAGGAGCUGCUUUCUCUUUAGAUUGAUCCUCUGUGAAGUAAUGUCUGAGGCAUUAUUUAUACGCCGGAUUGCAGUGAAAAAAAGAAAAGAAAAGAAUAGAGUAUUUCAUGAUAGAGUCUAUAAAUACAUAAAGUUAAGAAUUCAGAUUAAAGAAGUUCAUCUUAAGCUGUAAAUUUUUCCACCGUAACAACAGCUUGAAUGUGUAGGGAAGAUGAUUGUGUGCCCUUACAAGCUCUUUCUUUUAAAAAAAUAGUCAAAAGAUACUUAGCUAAAUUCUAUGUAGCUAAAUGCAUAUCUUAAUAGCAAUGUUUAAAAAUGUGUUUCCUUUUUUAAAAAAAUGGAACAUGAGUGGACACUGGACACUCACCAUGCUGCAAUCUGAGAUAUGCAUUUUUCGACUUAAGCCAUUGGAAUGCUCUAUGCUUGUAAGAAAAUCAUUUCAAUGCUACGGACAGAGCUUAUAGAAACAUGGACGAUAUCAAUCACUUUCUGUCUUCCAUUUGAAUUAAUGUGAAUUAAUUUGAAUUAAUGUUGUGGUAUACACAAGUUUUCAGAAAUGAGCCGUUUCUACAAAUUAGAUAUCCAUUAUAUACACUAAUAUGUUUGAUAUAUGGUAUAAGUAAGUAGAAUAAUGUAACCAGGCACGUGAUCCUUUGGUUUCAGAGCUCAUUUAAUCCUGCCAUUUAUCAGUCAGCCAUUUCAUCAUGUUGUUAGCUAGUUACCUCACUUGAGUGCUUACAUGAGAAAAUAAAUACAACUUUUCUUCAGUUUGGAAUGUUGUGACAUUAUUGGAAAAAUUAUCUCAAUAAAAUAAAAUUAGAUUUAUUAAAAUGAUUGCUGAUUGAAAUAAGCAUGCAUUUAAACACUAAUUCUUGACCCAACCAUUUUUAUCCAGGAAAAGGUCACCAGGACUUCAGAAAAAUCCAUUUAUUUUCCCAUGUAAAAUACACUCUUUUACCUCUCUCAUGUUCCUUAUUUUGUUACUUUUUAUCGCAAGCUUUUAAGUUUCGUUACACAAUACAAAUUUUUCCUUUAUGUUAACUUUAUCUUGUAUUUAAUCAACGAAACACAAAAAUCAUUUAUAUGUAGGGAUUUGAUAAUAUUUUUGUUUCACAAAACAAUGAGCUUAGUUUCUAACGCAUUUUAAAGUUUAACACUCAAUAGUCAAUACAUAUGUUAACUCACUAAAUUCUUACUUCUCAGUUAAAAGUAUUUCUAAUUUUGUGCACACCCUUGCACUUUGACUUUUUAGUAAAAUCACUGCUAUUCAUCUACUGUUUGACUGUAUUAUUUUUAUUUUCUCGUUUGAUAUGGUUGAAAGAUUUAAUAUUUCACAUCUACUUAUCAUAAAUUUAAACAUCUAUAUCUUGUCAUGGUCUGAUUCAGCGCUGUUUUACUAACAAAACAAUCAUUCAAAAAUAUGUAUUUUCUUUAACAAAGCUUCAAGUAAGGGCUCAGAGCUUAAAGUAAAAUUAAAUAGCUCACGCUGAAAUAUUCAUCUAUAUUACGUAUGCUCAACUCAUAAAAAUAUAUUCCUGCCCAUUUAAAAGUGCUCUUAGCCAGAAAAUAUCAAAAAUUUGUUUUUUUAGUCAAUUUUUUUCCAUUCUUUAAGGAAGAAAUGAUAAUAUUUUAUGUAACUAAUGAAUGUUCUGACUUAGUAUUACCCACAUUUCAACUCUUCUUGUUACCAUCACCGCACUCGCAUAGAAUUGCAUGACGGAUCGUAACAUUUGUUCUCCAAUUCAUGUGUCCCUCUGUGAGGAACAAAAGUUCUCUGAGUCAGAGUUUGAUUGAUAUCCUACUAAACUUUCGAAUAAUUUUCCUAUUAUACAGAUGGAUUUAUAGCACUGAUGAGAAUGUUAUAAUAGUCAAACGAUCAAUUAAUAAUAUAUAUUUAAUUUUAAGAAUAUUUUUCAGAAGUCCUUGAAAUGCAUAAUCCUUUAGAAGUAUGAAAGAAUCUCACUAAUCGUUUUUGUUAUCUAAAAAAAUUCGCAUGUGAACAAAUUCAACACCACCCGUAAAUUUUUUUUGAUUCACUUAAAAUUCUUUUGCUUAAGUCAAUUAUGAUUAUGAUAGAAAAACACACAUCUCAAGAUCCAAGAUAAAGAUCUGGGAGUUUAAAUUAUUCAUUCAUUGUCAAGUGUUUCGGCUUGGUUCAGAGAAGGUUCCUCUUAGAUUACCUAUCUUCUCUUUGAUUCAGAUUUGUUCAUGAUUUCUGGACCUUCGAUCAGACUGUCUUUUGUGCUUCCAAGUAAUAUUGUUUAAAUCCUGUUGGUUUCAGAAUUGAUAGAAAGGCUUUGGUUGAUAUAGUAGAGAUUUCUAUUCGUUGCUAGUAAUUUUAUCGUCCAACUGCUAUAUCCUUCAUUAUUCAUUGUUAAUGUUCCUGUGUAGGUACUCCUUGUCAAAGUCCACAACUUGAAUUGUUCAAUUUUUCACGUUUUAUUAUAAUUUAUUUUGUUAUUUUGUUUCAAUUGAAUCCGGUUGAAGACUGCACUAUUGCAAUCUCCUCCAAACCAGGGACCUGUAAGAGAAGAGUCCGUGCCAAAUAAGUUCACAGAAUGCAGUGCGAAGAAUGCGACGGAAGAUCAGCUGUCUUCAGUUGAACAUUGAGAUGGAAUGCAAGACUCGAGAGUGGUAGGUAUUCUUUUGCAUUCUAAAAGUAAGUAAACUUUUUGGUGUGGACUUUAGCAAACCAAUGGAUUCAUUAUUCAAGGCAAAAUCCAUUAAAGAGGAAUCAUUAGAAAUUAAUUCAGGUUUUGUUCAAAUAUUUUCUUUUCACUUUUUUUAAUUUAUUUAUCAAUUUUAUUUUUCAUGCAGAUGGUCCUAUGUAGCUCUAAUGAAAAUAAAUUCCACCUCCCCCUUUUCGAAAAAUGGUGCCAGGUUUUUCUUCUCUUACUCUACAAGCAUUUUGUCAUCCUUAUCUUUUCUCGUCUUUUUAAUUUAUUCUAAAUGUAUGAUUAAUUCAGUAUUUCAUUCAUAUUAAUCUCUCUCUUCAUCUGUCGCUUGGUUCUUUAUCUCUCACCCCAGUAUUCGUAAUUGAUGGGAUAAAAUUGGAAAGAGUAAGAAAAACAAAUAUUUUCUUCAUUGGAAGCUGGUUUUUAUGAGUUUCAGUAUUUCAACAUGACCACGUCAGUUCUUCAAUUAAUUAUAUCGAGGAAAGACUAUAAUUGUAAAAAAUUUUAUGUGCCCAAGAACAACUGCUGAAUUAAGAUUUUAAACCUGUACCUUUCCCACAAAUUUGCCUUUUAUCAGGAGUCCUUUCGAAUUGUUAAAGUUUUCCUUUUUAUUAUAAUCAACGACUGGUCUAUAGCUCAGUACAUCUUUUAAGUAUUGAUACCAUCACCGAAUUAAAAGAAUAGGUACUUAGACUGAUAAUUAGACUUCCCACUCACACUGUUUUAAAAUCCAUAUGAAAUUACCAAUUGUUGUAUUACUUAAGUUGCAUAGUUCUAUCGUAUUGCUGUUAUGUGUUUCAUAUUUUAAACUGUCAUUAGUUAUUUCAGACCCUUAAGAAAUGUGACAGAGUGCGGAAAAUACGCCUCAAGGUGAGGAGAUAACGAAAAAUGAGACAACUGCACCACAGUUUAGAUAUUUCAAUCCUUCAUCAUGUGGCACUACGAACACUUGAAUACCUAUUUCAAACAUUGGUCCUUCGGUAGCAAAUUAAAAUUCAUGAAUGAAAACGAGAAAUUUGAAAAAAACUGCUGGCAAAGUUUGCUAGGAAUGCUGCACUCUACAAAAAAUUCAGUAUAAAUACUCAUAGUCUUAGACUUUAACCUAAUGUCCUUGAGAGAAGUAGAAAAUGUUUAGAAUUGAUAUUAUGGACCACCAAACCAGUUUUUUGCUUUACUGUGCGUUUCAAUUCCAACCUCAAGGCACUUUUUACAUUUUGCCUGACUCCGUCACAAUUAAUUUUAAGGGCCACAUGGUUACCUACAUUCAAAGCACUAAAGGUGCUGCUAUGAUUAUUAAUUUGUUUGUCCCCCACCAUUCUUGUAGGAUUUUGCUUCGUCAGCUUACCUACUAUUACAAGGAACUAGGUAUUUAUCCGAUUUGUUAUGAAAUGCCUAUUAAAAUUCUUUGAUACCUACUCAGCAUGUGUAUGCGAAUAAAUUAUAUCUGGAAGAUAAAUACUUUCGUCUGCUCAUUUCCUCAUAUAUUCCUAUCCUUACACUUAUUUUAAUACUUUUCCCAGUUAGCAAGAUAGCUCCAUUGC
rnacentral:lncRNA from 1 species